UUCCUGAUAGCUCAAUGGUAGAGCGUGUGGCUGUUAACCAUUAAGUUAUAGGUUCGAAUCCUAUUCAGGAAG
rnacentral:tRNA from 1 species